rnacentral:rRNA from 1 species
UACCAGCACCCCGAGUGGUCGGGACGUUUAUUGGGCCUAAAGCAUCCGUAGCCGGUUCUACAAGUCUUCCGUUAAAUCCAGCUGCUUAACAGAUGGGCUGCGGAAGAUACUAUGGAGCUAGGAGGCGGGAGAGGCAAGCGGUGACGUCGAAUGGGUAGGGGUAAAAUCCGUUGAUCCAUUGAAGACCCGCCAGUGGCGAAGGCGGCUUGCCAGAACGCGCUCGACGGUGAGGGAUGAAAGUGGGGGAGCAAACCGG